AAUUCGAUGCUACACGAAGACUUACCUGGUUUGACAUAGAGGUAGUAGGGAAGCGAAGCGGACGACCCUUCGGGAGCCUCUACAGGUGUUGCAUGGCUGUCGUCAGCUCGUGUCGUGAGAUGUUCGGUUAAGUCCGCUAACGAGCGCAACCCUCGUCGUGUGUUACAAGUGUCACGCGAGACCGCCGACGUCAAGUCGGAGGAAGGUGGGGAUGAUGUCAAGUCAGCAUGGCCUUUAUAUCCAGGGCUACACACACGCUACAAUGGUCAACACAAUAGGUCGCGAAACCGCGAGGUGGAGCCAAUCCUCAAAGUUGGCCUCAGUUCAGAUUGUAGGCUGCAACUCGCCUGCAUGAAGAUGGAGUUGCUAGUAACCGCAGGUCAGCACUACUGCGGUGAAUACGUUCCCGGGGUUU
rnacentral:rRNA from 1 species